GCGCGAGUAGUUCAGCGGUAGAAUGCUUCCUUGCCAAGGAAGAGGUCGCCAGUUCGAAUCUGGUCUCGCGCUCCA
rnacentral:tRNA from 1 species